rnacentral:rRNA from 1 species
UACGUAGGGGGCUAGCGUUGUCCGGAAUCAUUGGGCGUAAAGCGCGCGUAGGCGGCCCGGUAAGUCCGCUGUAAAAGUCAAAGGCUCAACCUUUGAAUGUCAGUGGAUACUGCCGGGCUAGAGUCCGGAAGAGGCGAGUGGAAUUCCUGGUGUAGCGGUGGAAUGCGCAGAUAUCAGGAGGAACACCAGUGGCGAAGGCGGCUCACUGGUCCAUUACUGACGCUGAGGUGCGAAAGCGUGGGGAGCAAACAGG